rnacentral:tRNA from 1 species
GUUAUUGAUAUUCAGGGCGUAAAAAUACCCUCCUAAGGGGAAGGUAGCAGGUUCGAGUCCUGCCGGGGGUACCA